CCUACGGGAGGCAGCAGUGGGGGAUAUUGCACAAUGGGGGGAACCCUGAUGCAGCGACGCCGCGUGGGUGAAGGAGUGCUUCGGCAUGUAAAGCCCUAUCGGCAGGGAAGAAGCAAGACGGUACCUGACUAAGAAGCCCCGGCUAACUACGUGCCAGCAGCCGCGGUAAUACGUAGGGUGCGAGCGUUAUCCGGGUUCACUGGGUGUAAAGGGAGCGUAGACGGCCAUGCACGCCAGGGGUGAAAGCCCGGGGCCCAACCCCGGGACUGCCCUUGGAACUGUGCGGCUAGAGUGCGGGAGGGGCAGGCGGAAUUCGUGGUGUAGCGGUGAAAUGCGUAGAUAUCAGGAGGAACACCGGCGGCGAAGGCGGCCUGCUGGACCGCGACUGACGUUGAGGCUCGAAAGCGUGGGGAGCGAACAGGAUUAGAUACCCCUGUAGUC
rnacentral:rRNA from 1 species